rnacentral:misc_RNA from 1 species
AGUCGUAACAAGGUAUCCGUAGGUGAACCUGCGGAUGGAUCAUUAACAAAGGUGUUUUUGAAGUUGUGUGAACAGUUGGAGGUGGUGGUGGUGGUAUUGGGUGGUACUGGGUGGUAUUGGGUGGUAUUGGGUGGUGUAACCUUGGUCUAACCUUGGUCAACCUCACUCAACCUCACUCAACCUCACUCUCCCAACCUCACUCUCCCAACCUCACUCUCCCAACCUCCACCACUCCGUCCCUAUAAUGUAUACAAACUGAUGUCUGCUAGUUUCAAACUAAAACAACUUUUAGCAACGGAUCUCUUGGCUCUC